GGGCCGCUGUUUUAAAGGCCUCACGUUGCCUCGCCGCCGACUCUGUCGCGCUGUGACCUGUGCCGAAUUGUAGGGAGGACGCGGGGGACCCAGGAAACUUAGAAAUGGACUCAGUGGACAUUGAGGAUGUGGCUGUGAACUUCACCCCAGAGGAAUGGGCUUUACUGGAUCCUUCACAGAAGAAACUCUACAGAGAUGUGAUGUGGGAAACCUUCAGGAACCUGGCCUCUAUAGAUCUCAUAUGGUAGGGAGACUCUAUGAAAGUGAAGAGGGUAGUCAAUGUGGAGAAAACUUCAGUCUUAUUCAAAAUCUCAAUAUGAACAAGAAAACUAUAGGAGCUAAACCGUGCAGUGCAUGUGGAAAAGUCUUCAUGCAUCAUUCAUCCCUUAAUAUGCACAUUAGAUGUCACACUGAAUACAAACCACAUGAUUAUCAAAAGUAUGGAGAGAAGCCAUAUAAAUGUAAGGAAUAUGAGAAAGCCUUUGCUUUUCACAGUUUUCUUCAAAUCCAUGAAAGAACUCAGACUAGAGAGAAACAUUAUGAAUGUAAAAAAUGGAGUAAAGCAUUCACUUCUUCCAGUUCUCUUUGAAUACAUGAAAGAAUUCACACUGGAGAGAAACCCUAUGAUGUAAGGAAUGUGGAGAAGCCUUUAUAAGUCCCUCAGGCCUUCAGUCACACAUGAUCACUCACACUGGAGAGGGACCUUAUAAAUGUAAGGAAUGUGAGAAAGUAUUCAUUUUUCCCAGUGCAUUUCAAAUACAUGAAAGGAAUCACACUGGAGAUAAACCCUAUGAAUGUGAAGAAUGUGGUAAAGAAUUUAUAAAUCUCUCAAACUUUCAAUCACAUGUGAUCUUUCAUACUGGAUAUCCACCUUAUAAGUGUAAGGAAUGUGGAAAAGCCUUCUGUUUUCCCAAUUCAUUUCAAAAACGUGAAAGAAUUCACACUGGAGAGAAACCCUUUGAAUGUAAAAUUUGUGGUAAAGCCUUCAGGUUUUCCAGUACUGUUCAAGUACAUGAAAGAACUCACACUGGAGAAAAAUGCUAUGAAUGCAAGAAAUGUGAGAAAGCAUUCAUUUCUCUAAGAUCACUUCAAAGACAUGAAAGAAGUCACAGUGGAGAGAAAGUCUAUGAAUGUCAGUAAAAUAUAAAAGCUUUUAUUUCUCAUGAAAACUUUCAAAGAUAUGUGAGAAUGCACAUGAGAGGAAAAAACAUGUAAAUGUAAAGAAUGUGGGAAAGCCUUUUGUCAUCCCAGUUCUUUCUGGAGGCAUGAAAGGACUCACUUGAUAAAAACCUCUUGAAUGUAAACACCAUGGGAAAGACUUCACUAAGCCUGCAUCCUUCUAUGUGAAACUCCCACCAAAAAGAAAUAUAAAUGUAAGUCAUAUGAGAAAGCUUGAUGGAAAUUAAUUUGUGUAUAAUGUUCUAGAAAACUUUCAACAUGAAAAAGGUGUUAUAAAAGUCAUAAAUAUCUUUGUUUACUAAGCCUCUUUCUUAAAGUGCAACAUUGGAUUGUGGAUUUCUGCUAAUUACUUUCAUAAAUGAAUAUUGAGGUGAGAUAAUUCUGAAAAAUCAUCCUUCAUCAAUACUACAUAAAGAUUAAUAGGUAGUGCUUUUUCCUUGAAUCAGUUAAUAAUGUUUUCUUGUUAAUUUUUUUAUAAUGUUUUAAUUGUUCUGUGUUAAGGGGCCAUUGAAAAAUGACAGUUUGUGUUUGGUGGGAUUUUCCUACUGGCCUUGUAGGGCACUUCCUGGAUAUGCCUAAUCCAUUGUAUAUAUUGUUCCUUUCCUAGAGAAAGCUCCUUUUUGGGGGUUAUGGGUAUGUAUAGGAGCCUGUUUCCAUUUUCUAUACUAUUAGAAAGUUGGAAUAAAUUUUUAUGUAUGGCGAGUUUUUCAAAGAGUAUACCUUCCUGUGAAUUACUAUUUUGUUUCUUUUCUUUUUUUUUUUUGGUGAGGACGAUCAGCCCUGAGCUAACAUCCAUGCCAAUCCUCCUCCUUUUGCUGAGGAAGAUCAGCCCUGAGCUAACAUCCGUGCUAAUCCUCUUCUUUUUGCUGAGGAAGACCGGCUCUGAGCUAACAUCUAUUGCCAAUCCUCCUCCUUUUUUUUUCCCCAAAGCCCCAGUACAUAGUUGUAUGUCAUAGUUGCACAUCCUUCUAGUUGCUGCACGUGGGACGGGGCUUCAGCAUGGCCCGAGAAGCCGUGUGUCGGUGCGCACCCGGGAUCCCAACCCGGGCCGCCAGCAGCGGAGCGCGCGCACUUAACGGCUAAGCCACGGGGCCGGCCCGUGAAUUACUAUUUUCAUAUUUGAGACUUUGCUCUUUGUUCUUCCUUCUGACUGGUAUUUGGUGAAUAGACUUUGAAUUAAAUAGAAAUCUGUGAUAGGGCAACAAAAUCUAGAGCUGGACAUAUCACCUUGUAUUGUGUUAUGUCAAUGAGGGUAAUAAUAACUAGAUCUUUAAGGAUCCAUCCCCUUUAUGGUUCCAUGUUGGAAUUCACCAAUAGCCUCACUUGCAUGAGAUUUGGAAGGGAUCGGCAAAUGAGGCAUUAGGCAGAUUUAGGAGGCACCAAUGCAAAGAGAGAGAUGGUUAGUUACAUAGGAGCUUUGAGGACACCAUCUUCUAGCCCAAUUUCUGGAUUCUUUGCCCUUCUAGUCCAGAGUAUCUUGAAAACCACCACCAACUGUCUGGAUUUCCAUUUUCUUAGAGGUGUAUUUUCCACUGAUGUUUUUCAAGUCUCACAUCAAAGAUUCAUUAGAGUUAUGAUUUUUCUCUAAGGCCUUUUGUGUCCAUUAGGAAACUAAUUUAGACUUUUGUGGUUGGGAGUAUUCUCUGAUUCCCGUCUUCUCUAGAUGAUAUCUGUAGAAGGUCUAUUUGUAUAGGAAACACUUUAUGCUCUUAAUAGUGCUAGUGAGGAUGUUUUCCUGAUUCACCGUGAUAUCUACAAUGGGGCAUAAAAAGAAGGACCUGGGAGUUUGUUUCUCUGCUGCAUUGUGCAGUGGCUGCCUUGACCCAGUUCUUCCACGUGAGAACAAUCCCCUUUCUCAUGUCAGGAAGACUGUGUUUCCUGUUACUUGUAGCUGAAUGUAUUCCCUCAAUAUGUUUUCAAUAAUGUUUGAUUGUAUGUCAUUAAAACUAUGUGCAUUUCCUUGUGAAAUGGACACCUCUGUAGUUGUUUCAUUGAUAUAUUUUAUCAACUGUUUUGUAAGCCAUCAUAUGCUAAUAAAUAUUAUUAUGGUUUUCAUUUCCUCAGAGAAUAUAUUAAAUUCAUUUUAAUUAUGGA